AUUGAACGCUGGCGGCAGGCUUAACACAUGCAAGUCGAGCGGGGUGAUGGUGCUUGCACUAUCACUUAGCGGCGGACGGGUGAGUAAUGCUUAGGAAUCUGCCUAUUAGUGGGGGACAACAUCUCGAAAGGGAUGCUAAUACCGCAUACGUCCUACGGGAGAAAGCAGGGGAUCACUUGUGACCUUGCGCUAAUAGAUGAGCCUAAGUCGGAUUAGCUAGUUGGUGGGGUAAAGGCCUACCAAGGCGACGAUCUGUAGCGGGUCUGAGAGGAUGAUACGCCGCACUGGGACGGAGACACGGCCCAGACUCCGACGGGAGGCAGCAGUGGGGAAUAUUGGACAAUGGGGGGAACCCUGAUCCAGCCAUGCCGCGUGUGUGAAGAAGGCCUUAUGGUUGUAAAGCACUUUAAGCGAGGAGGAGGCUCUUUUGGUUAAUACCCAAGAUGAGUGGACGUUACUCGCAGAAUAAGCACCGGCUAACUCUGUGCCAGCCGCCGCCGUAAGAC
rnacentral:rRNA from 1 species